UAAAAUUAGAUUAUUCUGGUGCUGCCGUCAUUAAGGUAUUAGCAUAAUUUGCGCGCAUGGUCGGUUUAUCACUCGCCGAUUAAAGCACGUUGUUCUGAGCAAGAGUGAGGGCGGUUUCAACUUAAAGAUUACAAUUACACUUACGAAUCAAACCCCAAAUGUCCCAGCCGAGGGAUCCUACGAAUAAUUUCGUUGAGUUGGUUCAAGUAUGGGGAGGUUUCCUCAACGAAUAUCUGGAAGGAGUCGUAAUGUACGAUUCGAGAAACGGGAGGUUUACGGCUCAAGUAGGGUACAUUAUUGAAGAAGGAACACUGAAUGGCAACGAGGCUUUUAAAAUCAUCUCGACUAGACGAGAAAUAAAAACGAUUGAACGACAAUCAGGACGAGACCAAAGCAAGUAUACAAUUGCAGAUGGAGGCAGCAAGGUCACCGCGUCAAGAACUAAAUUCCCAGCUAGUUAAAACCAAGGUAAGAGACUUCUACCUUGUUGUCAAUAAACGCAACAGGCUAAUCGAUCCAACAAAUGACAAAUUUCUAAGACGCAAAGUACUACUGAAUUUAUUGUAAGCAACACAAACACGAUGGAACACUGCGAAGAUCAGUCCUUAACAUCACGCUUACACAAGCCAGCUACGGUUACAUCUACUGACAAAUCACAGCAUUCUGACAUUCUCGAGUGCCUUUAAAUCGUUCGCUAGCUCAACGCUAGUUGCCGUUUUACAUUCAGUUACGAAAAUCUAGAUAUAGAUUGAAACAAAAUUCACUUUCUCAACAGCUUAGUGACGACUUAUGCAAGAAUCAGCGAUUACAGAUGCCUCAUAACAAAAUGAAUAGUAGUUAUAUGUAAAAACAUUGCUGAUCUAGAUAAUAAACUGAAACUGUUAAAUUCAAAUGUAGACCAUUUGCCUAUACUUCGCGCGAACACAGUUAAACUUUUACAAUACUUGCACUGUGGUAGAAACGAGUAGGAACUGAAAAUAUAAUCAAACUACCCGACGAAUAGUAAAUCAGAAAUGCGCUCCCAACACGAGCAUUAUACAGAAGAGUGAAAACAUCUCGUUUAAUUAAAUGCCAUGUCAUGUCUCGAAAUGCUAAGAGCCGCACGCGCGCGAUACCGGAGAUCCAAAUUUGUUCUCUCCCUACCUUCACUCCUCCCCUUCCUAAGCGACUGAUUAAUUAGCAUUCUUUGUUGUUGAGUCAGAUACCUUACGCUAGGAACAAGCCUCAUGGAAUUAAGUUUUUAUAACAAGCCAUUUUGCUCUUCAAUGUUGGGAGAUCUGUACUAAAACACAUUUUGCUAUUUACUUGAAAGAGUACAUUCUGUAAACCUAUCAAACCAUAGAGCCGCCUUAAAACUGUCUAAACGAAAAUUUUGAUUCUAAACUGCGACUGAUUUCACAAUGAAAUAAACGAAGCGCACACAUCACGCAACAUUGAGAUCUGUCCACAAAGACUGGCUAAAAAAGAUUCCAGAGUAAAACGAGGCGCUUACGAAAAUUUUUGUCGUUUUAUCCUGCUACACACAGCCAAAACUAAUAAUUUUUAACAAUCGAGUUAGCCAUUCUAUUUGUCAUCGAAACUGAUUGUAAAGGUACAUCACAGAAAUGCUACGAAAUGUUAACUGAACGAAACGAGGCAGUCUAAAUUCGGACAAAAACUAUCAUGAGAACUUAACACUUAAAUCAGAAGAGAGAGUGAAUCAGAAUUUCACGAUCUACGUACUACCUUCCGUCUCAAUUACAACAACAGGCCUAGUCGAAAACAAUUAGAUGGAACAAGACCGAGCUUAGAGCGCAGAUUAUUAAGCCUUAUAUCAUUUUAGAAACAAAUAAGAGGGAACGUACCUUCAAUUGCGUUCAUCUCCUCCAAAGCUCUUCUCUACUCAAACUGUAUGUCCCAAACACAAUAUUUACGAACAUUAAAAUCUCUCUAAAACAUUUUUUUCCUACUGCGCAAUAAACAUCGCAGAACGACUGGAACUUUCCUUGCCUCUUAAAUAGCCACAGAAAAUUUAAAGUGUGACGUUUAUACUUUUAUGAGAAGCUAUUGGUCGCGUACUUUUAUUUUGUUGGGACGCGCAUUCCCCAAAGCACCUAGGGCGAAACGUCUUUGGAGGAGGACAGGCCAUAAUUUGACAGCUUGUCAAUCAACGUCGUCAUUCACGAGCAAUGAC